AUUGAACGCUGGCGGCAGGCCUAACACAUGCAAGUCGAGCGGAUGAAGGGAGCUUGCUCCUGGAUUCAGCGGCGGACGGGUGAGUAAUGCCUAGGAAUCUGCUUGGUAGUGGGGGAUAACGUCCGGAAACGGGCGCUAAUACCGCAUACGUCCUGAGGGAGAAAGUGGGGGAUGUUCGGACCUCACGCUAUCAGAUGAGCCUAGGUCGGAUUAGCUAGUUGGUGGGGUAAAGGCCUACCAAGGCGACGAUCCGUAACUGGUCUGAGAGGAUGAUCAGUCACACUGGAACUGAGACACGGUCCAGACUCCUACGGGAGGCAGCAGUGGGGAAUAUUGGACAAUGGGCGAAAGCCUGAUCCAGCCAUGCCGCGUGUGUGACGAAGGUCUUCGGAUUGUAAAGCACUUUAAGUUGGGAGGAAGGGCAGUAAGUUAAUACCUUGCUGUUUUGACGUUACCAACAGAAUAAGCACCGGCUAACUUCGUG
rnacentral:rRNA from 1 species